UCAGCUCUCCUCGGUCCUCUCGUCUCCAAACUCACGGCUGACUGAACUGAACCUGAGCAACAACAACCUGGGAGAUUCAGGGGCUCGUCAGCUGAGUGAGGGGCUCAGGAGUGACAACUGUAAAUUAAAGAAACUGUGGUUGUGGUCUUGUGGUCUCACCUCGUUCUGCUGCUCAGCUCUCUCCUCGGUCCUCUCGUCUCCAAACUCACAGCUGACAUAUCUGGACCUGGACGACAACAACCUGGGAGAUUCAGGGGCUCAUCAGCUGAGUGAGGGGCUCAGGAGUGACAACUGUAAAUUAACACACCUGAGGCUGCAGAACAACAGGAUCAGUGAGAGUGAGAAGGAGAACCUGAGGUCACUACAGUGGGAGCUGAGGAGGUCUGGACGUCAGAUGACUAUCUACAUAUGAGAAGACCAGCAGUGGUGAUCAGACUGACCCCCUGUCAGUGACGGAACCCCCCCAUCCACUAACCCCUAAAUUCUCCUCUUUCUUCUUUUUCUUCUCCUCUCAGUUCUGCCCCUCAUUUAAUAAACACUCUGUGUCCCCUCAGCCUGUCUGCUCCUCCUUUACUGUCACUUUAAUUUUUAACACCUUGAGACCCUCAACUGGUGACAAAACUCAAGUAGACUCGGACUUGCAGACCCCCGAGUUUCACCACUAGAGGCAGUACAGCAGUGGGGGUCAUCCUGUAAAAAGCUCCCCAAGUUGCCUGACCCAACGAGGAGCAAAGAGAGGUGGACAGUCCAACUGUGGGGUGACAGGGGGCCUGAGGCUGUAGUGACACUGGGGACGAGGCUGAGACAAACCCUGGACAGGUCGCUGGUCCAUCACAGGACGCCAUCAGCGCUCGUCUCCAUCGUCACUCGGUGUCAUUUGAACCCGUGUCUGCUCCGUGUCCCCCAAGUCCUGUCUGCCACCUGCUGAUUGUCCUUUGGUGACACUUUAUCUCUCAUGAGGCUCAGUUUUGAUUUUGAUUUUCUUUUUUAUUCGUCGUCUCCACUUCACCGUCCCCUCCAGUCGUGUCCUCGUAGUGAGCAGCGACCUGAACGAGUGAGCCAUUAAAAAGAAAUAAAAGAAAAGACGAGGAGAACAUGGAGGAGUGUGGAGAUGGGAUGGACUGGCGCCGUCCAGGGUGGGGUCCUGACUUGAGUGACCACCACCUGAACUGGACUGAGGGGGCUUAGAAAAUGGGUGGACAAACAGAGAGAAAUAAACAGAACUGGGAAUUAAGAAAGAUACUGGAAAAUAAAACAAAGAGAGAGUGGGACGAGGGUCUAAAGGAAACAAGUGGGGGACCCCAGCAAGAGGGUGGGCUUCUAUAGGACAGCUGGUUAAGAUAAAGAGGAACAGGGACAAGAGUGGGAGAGAAGGAAACAGAGAGAUGAACAAGGGGGACAAGGAGGAGAGAGUUAGAAAGUGAAGGACAGUCAGUGACACGAGGGGGACGAGGACAGACGAGGAGGAGGAGGAGGAGAGGAAGAAGACAAGUCAAGUUGAGUCCAUUUUAUUUCUAGAGCUCAUUUAAAAACAUCAGGGGCCGACCAAAGUGCUCCACAGCUUCACCAUAAGUACCCCAAAUACACACAGCAGACACAGUAAAGAAAUACUGACGGACAAGUUUAGAAAGCCAAGUCAGAAAGGUGGGCUUCAGGUGGAAUUUCAAAGUGACCAGAGUUGGUGCUGACCUCCCAGAAAACAGUCAACUGCUCCAAAGCUGAGGGCAGCUACUGCAAACACACGGCCCCUCUAAGCUUAAGUCGAGAACUCAGCACAACUAAUAAGUUCUGGUCAGAGGACCCCCGUGACCGUGAAGGAGAGUGCAGGUGUAAGGGGUCAGUAAGAUAAGAGGGGGCUCAACCAUUCAGGGUCUUAAAAAACAACAAAACUCAAUCCUGAAUGGUCAGGACGUCAGUGUAGAGACGCUAAGACUGCAGUGGUGGGAUUGUGUUUGGUGGGCCUGUUAGACGCCUGGCAGCAGCGUUCUGGACGAGCUGAAGACGAGACAAGCGAUGGCCGAUUAACUCUGAGGUGUGAUGAGGAACAACAGUCAAGAUGAGACGAGACAAACGCGUGAAUUGGUGUUUACAAUCAUCUACAGAGAGAAUGAGCCGAGAUGAACUGUAGGAGCACAAGUGAGGUCAGAAGGUCCAGAACACACAAGGUCUGUUUGUAUGUCAUGUAGACGAAGAGAAUGAGGUGACCUCCAUGGCUUGAUGUCUUCUGGACAUUCUAAUAAAGGGUUAAGAGAAUUGGUUUGGAUCUGCUGAGUGGAAAAUACGUCAGAGUGUCAUCUGUGUAGCCGUGGAGAGAAAUAUUGAGUUAUUUAAAAAUGGAUACUAAGAGGAACAUCUACAGUGAAAUAAA